rnacentral:rRNA from 1 species
UCAGGAUGAACGCUAGCUACAGGCUUAACACAUGCAAGUCGAGGGGCAGCAUUGGAGUAGCAAUACUCAGAUGGCGACCGGCGCACGGGUGAGUAACACGUAUCCAACCUGCCGCUUACUCGGGGAUAGCCUUUCGAAAGAAAGAUUAAUACCCGAUGGUAUAAAGAGUUCGCAUGUUCUCUUUAUUAAAGAAUUUCGGUAAGCGAUGGGGAUGCGUUCCAUUAGAUAGUUGGCGGGGUAACGGCCCACCAAGUCUACGAUGGAUAGGGGUUCUGAGAGGAAGGUCCCCCACAUUGGAACUGAGACACGGUCCAAACUCCUACGGGAGGCAGCAGUGAGGAAUAUUGGUCAAUGGACGAGAGUCUGAACCAGCCAAGUAGCGUGAAGGAUGACUGCCCUAUGGGUUGUAAACUUCUUUUAUAAGGGAAUAAAGUGAGGGACGUGUCCCUUUUUGUAUGUACCUUAUGAAUAAGGAUCGGCUAACUCCGUGCCAGCAGCAGC